rnacentral:sRNA from 1 species
AACUCUUCUCGGUCGAGUUCGUCUAACUCUGAGUUGAUGUAUUUGAUAGUAUUUUCAGUUCUGGGGAUAAUAACAUGUUCACUAAAUGUAUCCAGCUAGAUAUUAAUCCUCAAUUCAAACCAAUAUAAACCAUAUCCGAAAAGGAAUAUUAGAGUACCCCAAUAGUAUAGGGUAACUUAGGGUGACGCCUGACUGUCAGUUUACCGAAGGAGGGAAGGGUGCUUCAUACAUGGCAUUGACUCGUCUAUUCACCACUUUGAUGACCUCAUCUAGUAUCACAAAUGCCGUCUGUAAGCUAGCUAGUUCGACGAGCGUUUCAACGGCCCUUGAGUAUGUCUCUCGACAACGCUGGACUUGUUGCCCUCCUUUUCCCAGGCCUGUCAGACCAAAAUCAUUGCUGCCCUCGGCCGUUAUGCUCUCAAACUGAGGCAGCAUUACGCCAGAGACAUUUUCUUGUUUUGUCUGUACACGGAACCGUGCCUGUUUCGCAGAUUCCUGGACCUGGAAACCGAUAUCUCCUCCAACAGCAUAUGUAACUUCUGCGAGGGAAAAGGCCGCUAUCUGCAUAACGCGACCCAUUUUCCGUUUUGCCUCAUCGAUCCGUUUGGUGAUUUCUCGAAACCGCUUAGUCAAAGCUUCACUUUUUCUUUUCAGAAGACUGUGCCCUGUCUCCGCACCCUUCAGCUUCCCCUUCAUUAAUCCCAGCGAUUGCCGGGUUGGAAAGACAGCUUCCCGGUC